AAAAUAAUAAGAACUCCUCUCCCCCACGUUAAUUGCAAUGCAAAGGGAGAUGUUGCAUUACGGAUCCUGCCUGGGCUGUGCCGGGCUCUAAUGAAUGCGCCGAGCCUUUGAUCUGGGGAGGCAUUUCAUGCUACACCAUAAGAAUGAGGACACUGGGAGGAGGAGAGGUGUCUGCAAUCAAAUGCUAUCACCUUUCAUGGUAGAGGAGCAGUGCAGGUUUCCUCCUGCCAGCUUGUCCCCUUAGAGUCUCUGACCCUUGGUUUCUGCAGGGUUCUACAACAGUGAUUGGUGCGAGGUCCAUCGGUAAUGUCAAAAGGCCUUAUUUUGCCAGACGCAGCAUUGCUCUAACCUCAGUAGCAGCUGAAGAAUCACUAAACUUAAGGUUGUUUGUGACAAAGCAUCAGCAAUGUCCUGUGCCGAACAUGAUUCACGUAAGGCAGACAGCGGAUACUGAGUUUGAAAGGGGGCUAAUCAACAAUCUUUGGAAUAAAGAAAUAUCUUAACUCAAAAAUGUUGAUGCAUGAAUGAACGUAAUUCUCUGUGCACCGAGUUAAUGUUUAGGGGACACAUCUACUGUAGCAACCACACUGAAUCAGUUUGGUGCCAUUCACAAGCAAAUUAAGUUGUAAAAUCUCACCGUAUGUGUACGUGUGUGUCUAAAUGUCUCCAGAGAAAUAAUUUAUUUAUUUUCUACUUUGCUCAAAUUUUUCCUUUCCCAGUGCACUCGGUUCAAUCCUGGAGUCACUCUAUUGACGUUAACAGUGGGGUAUCAAGGAGAUAUUUUGCUCUUCUACAUUUUUAGGAUAAAAGUUUCUGGGACAAGGCCACACACAGCUGCAGGCGAGCUGUCUGAUCCAGGCAGGGGACUGAUGUGGGGGUGGAGGAAGGUCUGCUUCUCUGGCCUUGGGGGACAGCACAAAUCCAAACUGGGUAGCAUGUGAUAAGAGCAAGGCAGCAAUGCAGAAAUGCUAAGGAAGGUGGAUGUCCUGGCCCCUAGAUUUUUAAGGACAAUUUGGUGAAGGAUUGUUGGAGGGGCCCAGGGAAAGUGUGUCUCGUGAAAAAGCAGGUGUGAAGGAGGAAUGGUGCAGGGAAUGUCAGAGUGCUGUGUCAGCUCAUCUCAUUGAUGGCCAGCUGGACAAGGAGCCUUUGUUGUCUGCCUUUCAGGCAUAGAGUAGUUGAAGAUGACAUAAGGAAACUCUGAAGAAGGACGAUGAACAGAUUACUCUUGCUGGGAAGACAAUGCUGUGUGUCUCUAACCUAGGCAGUGUUGAGUAUUGCAUAGAGCCUCUGAAUUGUCUGAAUGAACAUGAAAAUCCAGGGUCCUCUAAAAAAUUAAGGUGCAGCUCCCUGUUAUGGAUCCUUCAUCAAUGGAACCAAUAUACCCUCUCCCGCCUUUCUUUGCCCCCACUGCUGUCUCCACUGCUGUGUCUGUUCUACUGCUGCUGUGUUCAGGACUGGUGAAAAUGAGAUGACUAAGGAAAAAAAGAUUAUGACAGGAAGAAAAUAGAAAAACAGAUGGAUAAUAGGGGAAAAGAGUGCUUCUUUAGAACCAAAUCAUUUUAUAUCUCUGAGUUAGCUGAGUUGGUGCAAAGGAGAGGGAUAACCAACCCUUCUUGGGGAUUGGAGGGCACAGAGAUGAGUAGGGGUGGUGGGGGUGGGUCUGAACU